rnacentral:rRNA from 1 species
UACGUAGGGUGCAAGCGUUGUCCGGAAUUAUUGGGCGUAAAGAGCGUGUAGGCGGCCCGAUUAGUCCGCUGUGAAAGUCCAGGGCUCAACCCUGGAAUGCCGGUGGAUACUGUCGGGCUAGAGUCCGGAAGGGGCGAGUGGAAUUCCUGGUGUAGCGGUGAAAUGCGCAGAUAUCAGGAGGAACACCAAUGGCGAAGGCAGCUCGCUGGGACGUGACUGACGCUGAGGCGCGAAAGCCAGGGGAGCGAACGGG